AAGGUUAUCUGUGAAGUGUGAGGAGGGAAUUCACAGCCCAGCGGCGCUUCGGUUGAAAACACUCUCUACAGUCUUCAAGAGCUCAGAUGACGUCACACUGCAUUUGAUGUCACACUGGAGACACUGAACAUCUUCAUCUUGGCCGGGAGUGUGUUUGUGAGACAGACCGAAGAGAUAGGACGGAUAAAAGCGAGCACCUGGACCUGACAUCACAUCUCCAGCGAUUGUGUUGGAAACGUCACCCGGUCACGACGAGUUUAGCUGGAUGUUAAAUGGCGUUGGCGAUCCAAUGGAAACAUCAGUCUGGAAGGAGUUGACCUGUGGUCACCAAUCACCAAUCCUGACGUCUGCUUCUAUUCGUUUUUCCAGUCGACUACAUUUUGGUGUGCGUAUUAAUCAAAACAACCUCGCUAUUGCUCAUCCUACAGCGUUUGUGCUCCAGACGUAAUUGAUUUUUCAAAACAUCUUGUUGAGGAGAGUGUGUUGAUACUUUUCUAAGUAAUUAGACACACCAUUUUCACCUGCUGAGCCAUAAAACAGGUUAAAAAAAUCACACAGCCUAGCAACUGCAAGGCAACCAUCUAUCAACCACAAAAGUGUGCUUAAAACCACUCUGAAAAAGCUUGUAUUUUGACACCCAUCUCAGGGCAUUUUAAAGUAAUGUUAGCUCUUGCAGCCUUGAAGAUGUACUUGCAAAGCUUGUGUUUUAAAUAACUCAUGUUUCCUGUAAGAUAAACUUUUAAGAUGUUCCUCAAAGGACUUUUCGAAUGAUGCAUUGCCUCAAAAUGCUUCCCUCCCUGCAAAAAUGUUUACAGAGAAGUAUUUAUUCUAGUGCUGAAAAGACACUUCCUUUACAAAUCCUUCUUCCUUCUCAGUAUGAUCUUAACGGUUGGGGAGACAGGCAGCUGGGUAGUAACUGAUUACAUGUAAUUAUUUAGAUUUAGAUAUAAUUAGAUUACAUUACUUGUAUUAGAUUAUAUUACAUUUUAAAAUACUUGUAAUCAGAUUACAGUUACUUUUAUAGUGAUAUUAUGAUUACAUACUA